UCACGCCCCACCUCGGGCCCGCCUCCGGCCGCCAUCUCCAGUGUGGCUGGAUGUAAAGUGAGCAAGCUAGAAACCCGAGAAGGGAGGAGAGGGAUGGGGAUCAAAUGUAUCAGAAAGGAGCUAAAUCUGAUGACAGCAAGACCAACCAGACACUCCUUUUCCUCCUUGUCCUCAGCCUACUCAACGUGAAGACAAUGAGAAGCCCUUUGUGAUGAUCCACGUCCACCUAAUGAAUAACCAAGUCAUCUGACUCCAACCUAACUCUGGGAAACUGAGAAAUGGCUUCUGUGUGCUCAGGAAGAAGAAACAGAUGGGAUUGGUGAGCAUCUAGCCAAUUUCCACCACAAAUGCUCAUUUUGGCUGCCUCCAGGCCAAAGGUAAAAACUAAAAAGCCAGAGAAUACUAAAUGUUGGCCAAGAUGAGGAAAACAGAAACUCUCAUCCUCUGCUAGUUGGAAUGAAAAUUGAUGCAACGUCCCUGGAAAACAGUUUGGUAUUACCUAGCAAAGUAGAACCUGUGCCUCCCCUACAACCCAGCAAUUCCACUCCUGGUAUACAAUCAAAAUAAACUUUUGUACUUGUAUCCCAAAUAA
rnacentral:lncRNA from 1 species